GGCCUCGACUGAUCAUUAAGAAGAUAAAGAGUCCAAUCUAAAGAAGCUCUCCAAUGAAUUCAAAAGGGAGCUGUUUUCUCUUUCAUUCUUGAUGAUUGCAAGAAUUUCUCUAUCUUUACUUUGUUAGCUCCUCCUCAAUUUGCACUUCACUUUGCCCCUAAAAUGUGCUGAGAACACAUGCCCUCAUUGGUCUAAUGGUAUGAACCGCAACAUUGGAUGUGUGGAUUAGACGAAUGUCACGAGUUUGAAUUCG
rnacentral:misc_RNA from 1 species